rnacentral:rRNA from 1 species
GCGCAGCAAUUGACGUUACCCGCAGAAGAAGCACCGGCUAACUCCGUGCCAGCAGCCGCGGUAAUACGGAGGGUGCAAGCGUUAAUCGGAAUUACUGGGCGUAAAGCGCACGCAGGCGGUCUGUCAAGUCGGAUGUGAAAUCCCCGGGCUCAACCUGGGAACUGCAUUCGAAACUGG